rnacentral:rRNA from 1 species
UUUUUUAAUUGAGAACUAGUAUGAAUGGUUAAAUGAGAUAUUAGCUGUUUCAAAUAAAAAUAAAUAAAACUUAAUUUUUAAGUUAAAAAGCUUAAAUUUAAUUAAAAGACGAGAAGACCCUAUAGAGUUUUAUAUUUUUUAUUUUAUAAAUUUUUUAUAAUUUUUUAUUUUUAAAUAAUAAAAAGUAUUUUGUUGGGGUGACAAUAAAAUUUAAAAAACUUUUAAAAAUUUUAACAAUAAUUUUUGUUUAAUUGAUCCAUUAUUAAUGAUUAUAAGAUUAAAUUACCUUAGGGAUAACAGCGUAAUUUUUUUGUAGAGUUCAUAUCGAUAAAAAAUUUUGC